ensembl:lncRNA
GAUAGCGUAAGUGCGUGGGUACAUACAUACCUGCAUACAUACUUAUAUACAUACCUCCAUAUAAUACAUACAAUUUUUCUCCAAACUGUUUUCUCCGAACUGUUUUUUUUUUUUUUUUUUUUUUUUUUUUUUUUUUUAAAUAUACAUAAACGUAAAUUAUUUUAAAAAAUGUUAUGAACAAGUCAUCAUUAAUAAUAAUAAUUUUAUCAUUUUUGUUACUACAUUAUUUACUUGGCUUUUAAUUAGCCUUAAUUGGCUUUAAUUGGAACAUUCGUUAUUUAUUAUAUGGUACUUAGUAAAUACGCAUAUAAUAAACAUAUUACAAUACAUAUAUUGCGUGAGCACCUAUUUUUUUUUUUUUUUUUUUUAUAAUUAAAAAACAACAACACAUAGUUCCACAAUGGGUUUAUAUAUAUAUAACUCUUUUUUUGGAAAAAAAUAAAAAAAACAAAAAAAAAAAAAAAAAAAAAAAAGGAAAGGAAAGGAAAAUAAUAAUCAAACAUAAGGUAAAGUAGAUUACUCGGCAUAAAAGCUUGCGUUUUGCUCGUACAUAUAAAAGCUAUAUGUAUACUAUUUUUUUUUUUUUUUUUUUUUUUUUUUUUUUUUUUUUUUUUUNNNNNNNNNNNNNNNNNNNNNNNNNNNNNNNNNNNNNNNNNNNNNNNNNNNNNNNNNNNNNNNNNNNNNNNNNNNNNNNNNNNNNNNNNNNNNNNNNNNNAUAUAUAUAUAUAUAUAUACAUUUAUGUAACACAAAUAUACACCACAUAAUAUACAUAGUAUACAUAGGUAUCUACGUACGUACGCAGGCACACACACACGCACCCAAGGCUGUGAGCACACUUUGCUUAUCCUUAGUAUGAUUAUAACAAAAAGAAGCGUAAAGCUUGUACAUAAUUUAAUACAACACAGAAAAGUCCCUGAUGUUCACCACCCAACAACAAUCUACUAUAAUGACUUUUAUUGCAAAUAUAAAAAAAUAAACAAACUGUGUGAUGUUGAAACAAAUAAAGAAAUAUGUUUAUUAAAAACUUACUUAUUCAGGAAAAAACAUAUUUAUUUAAACAAAAAAGAUAUAAAUAUUCUUCUGAACAAAGUAAUAAAAAAAAAAAUAAAAAAUGAAUAUAUAUGGAAUGAUAUACAAACUUUAGUUUUUAAAACUAAUAUAAAUUAUUUAUGUGAAACAAGUAAUUAUGACAAAACACAAUCUGACUUAAAUAAUAACAUGCAUAAUGAUGAACUAAAUAAAACUACUAAAAAAACGGAUAUUAAUACUGACAUAGACAAAAGAGAUGGAACAACCUUAACAUACAAUCAAAACCUUGAUAACAUAAAUGUAUAUUUAUAUGCUUUGGCAAGUCAAAUAUUGAAUAAAAGAGAUGCACAAAUUAUAAAUUUUUUUUUUUUUUAUUUAAAACAAAAUUUAAAUAAUAUAGACCCAAGACAUUUUGUUUAUAUUUUUUUUGUUAUUGUUAAAAAUACAUUUCGUGGAUUAAACAACAAUAAUCGAAAUAAUUAUUCGUGUGAGGAAAAAAGCUUAACUAGCACAUAUGAUCAACAUAAAACUGGAGUAUAUUGUAAACAAACAAAACUUAAGAACGCUGAAAAAAAUUUAAUAGAGUUACUAACUAACUACUGUUUGGAUAAUGUAAAUUUUUUCACUUUUAAUGAUAUUAGUAUUGUUUGUGAAUCUAUUUGUUAUUUUUCACAAAAACAUAACCCCUUUAUAGAAUAUUGGAAUGAUUUUCUUUUCUAUAUCUUUGAAAUAAAUAUUAACGAUAAACGUACAUAUGGAUUAAAUUUUAAUGGGACAAACAAUUUGUCUUCAUUUAAAAAAAAAAAUUAUGAACGUUCAGAAUUAUUUAUAAAAAAAAAAAUAAAAAAAAAAAACGUACAUAAUGAAAAUUAUAAUAACAGUGAGUUUAUUACUUAUACAGAAUUGAGUGGUAAAAACAUUUUAAGCAUUGUUAAAUAUGUACAUACAUAUCACCCUGUAUUUAAUGAUGUUAUACAUAUAGGGGAAAAAUUAAAAAAUAUAUUUUUUAACAAUUCUUUGUACUUAGAAAUUGCAAUACACGAAUCUUCUAACAUUAUAUACUAUUUAAAUGAUUUAAAUCUGUUAAAUAUUAAUAAAUUAAAAAAAAAAAUUUUAUUUUAUGAACAAUAUUUUGUUUAUAAUAUUUUAAGUGAUUAUGAAUUAAAGUGCUUAUUAAUUAUAACAAAAAUUUCUUAUCAACAUUUAGGCUAUAUCCCUUUUUUAAACAUAUUUUUACAAAAUGUGUAUAAGUUAUCUGAGGAAGACAAAACCUGUUUAUUGAAGUUGGUACUUAAUAAUUACGAGCAGGAUAUGUGUGUAAAUUUCGAGCAUCCUGUUGUUAGUGGCACUGGAAGUAGUGACAUGUAUACAAAUAAAAGCUUACAUAACAACUUUCCCACAAAACCAAGAAUUAAAACAACAAUACCCGUAACAAAUAACCCCAUUUUAAUAAAAAAUUUAGUAGCAAUGUUAAUCUCAACUAGCUACGAACAUAUAAACAAAUUGUCAUAUAAAGAGUUAUACUUAUUAUGCAAAAUACUAGAUGAAGAAAUAUAUGUGUCGAACUAUUUUAUACAGAGUAUAGGCGAUAGAAUAUUGAAUUACUUAUCUAAGUAUGUUGCUGCACUUGUACCUACAACUGAAGCGGCAACUGUAACGAAUACAAUGUUAUACAUCCUUUUUGAUUAUAUAUUUUUUAUUGCCAUUUUUAUUUAUAAAAAUAAAUAUAAAAACAGCAUUUUAUUAAUAAAAACUAUGACUAAAAUUUUUUUAAAUAAUAAAAAUAAUGACAUUGCAAGAAAACAAAAUAUAAAAAAUGUUUUUUAUUUACUAAUUAUAAAUCGUGGAACAUUAAAUAUACCAAAUAAGUAUUUAGAAUUUGUAGUUAAAAAUAUAUGUUCGUUUAAUGUAGACAAACUUUAUUAUUCUAUUUUAGUCUAUUUUUUUACGAGCUCCAAAAAUAAUUACAAAAGAUUGGUAGUUGCGUGUGUUGGUACGGGUAAAGGAAAUAUGUCUUAUAAUGGUACUAUUACCGAUAAUAGCAGUUGCAACAAAAACGGUAACAACAACAAAAACGGUAACGACAACAAAAACGGUAACAACAACAAUAACAACAACAAUAA